rnacentral:rRNA from 1 species
GACAGAGGGUGCAAACGUUGCCUGGAUUUACUGGGCGUAAAGCGCACGUAGGCGGAUCGUUAAGUCGGGGGUGAAAUCCUGGAGCUCAACUCCAGAACUGCCUUCGAUACUGGCGAUCUUGAGUCCGGAAGAGGUGAGUGGAACUCCUAGUGUAGAGGUGGAAUUCGUAGAUAUUAGGAAGAACACCAGUGGCGAAGGCGGCUCACUGGUCCGGUACUGACGCUGAGGUGCGAAAGCGUGGGGAGCAAACAGG